rnacentral:pre_miRNA from 1 species
UCAUUCGGAUUCGCCAUCAUACGCCCAACCCUGCAUUUGAUAUGCAUAUAUAUGCAUCACGAGCCACGAUAGGGCUGUAUGAUGGCGAUACCGAUUGG